rnacentral:rRNA from 1 species
GACGAACGCUGGCGGCGUGCUUAACACAUGCAAGUCGAACGGAAAGGCCCUGCUUUUGUGGGGUGCUCGAGUGGCGAACGGGUGAGUAACACGUGAGUAACCUGCCCUUGACUUUGGGAUAACUUCAGGAAACUGGGGCUAAUACCGGAUAGGAGCUCCUGCUGCAUGGUGGGGGUUGGAAAGUUUCGGCGGUUGGGGAUGGACUCGCGGCUUAUCAGCUUGUUGGUGGGGUAGUGGCUUACCAAGGCUUUGACGGGUAGCCGGCCUGAGAGGGUGACCGGCCACAUGGGGACUGAGAUACGGCCCAGACUCCUGCGGGAGGCAGCAGUGGGGAAUAGUGAACGAUGGGCGGAAGCCUGAUGCAGCAACGCCGCGUGCGGGAUGACGGCCUUCGGGUUGUAAACCGCUUUCGCCUGUGACGAAGCGUGAGUGACGGUAAUGGGUAAAGAAGCACCGGCUAACUACGUG